rnacentral:rRNA from 1 species
UACGAAGGGGGGCAAGCGUUGUUCGGAAUUACUGGGCGUAAAAGGGCGCGUAGGCGGUGCACUAAGUCAGGCGUGAAAGCCCCUGGGCUCAACCCGGGGAAUUGCGUUUUGAUACUGGUGCGCUUGAAUCCAGGAGAGGUUGGUGGAAUUCCCAGUGUAGAGGUGAAAUUCGUAGAGAUUUGGGAAGAACACCGGUGGCGAAGGCGGCCAACUGGACUGGUAUUGACGCUGAGGCGCGAAAGCGUGGGGAGCAAACAGG